rnacentral:tRNA from 1 species
GCCUUCGUGGUGUAAUGGUAGCACACUGGGGGGCAUUCGAAAGGUCCAGGUUCGAGUCCCGGUGAAGGCA